AACGAACGCUGGCGGCAGGCUUAACACAUGCAAGUCGAGCGGAUGAAAGAGGAGCUUGCUCCUCUAGAUUCAGCGGCGGACGGGUGAGUAACACGUGGGCAACCUGCCCUGUAGAUUGGGAUAACUCCGGGAAACCGGGGCUAAUACCGAAUAAUCCUUCGGACCUCAUGGUCCGAUGUGCGAAGACGGCAUAUCGCUGUCCCUACAGGAUGGGCCCGCGGCGCAUUAGCUAGUUGAUGAGGUAACGGCUCACCAAGGCCACGAUGCGUAGCCGACCUGCGAGGGUGAUCGGCCACACUGGGACUGAGACACGGCCCAGACUCCUACGGGAGGCAGCAGUAGGGAAUCUUCCACAAUGGACGAAAGUCUGAUGGAGCAACGCCGCGUGAGUGAAGAAGGUUCUCGGAUCGUAAAACUCUGUUGUGAGGGAAGAACAAGUACCGGAGUAACUGCCGGUGCCUUGACGGUACCUCAUUAGAAAGCCACGGCUAACUACGUGCCAGCAGCCGCAGUAA
rnacentral:rRNA from 1 species